rnacentral:rRNA from 1 species
GAUCCUGGCUCAGGAUGAACGCUAGCUACAGGCUUAACACAUGCAAGUCGAGGGGCAGCGAGAAGAAAGCUUGCUUCUUGUCGGCGACCGGCGCACGGGUGAGUAACGCGUAUCCAACCUUCCCCUUAGUAGGGCAUAGCCCGUAGAAAUGCGGAUUAAUACCCUAUGUUGUUCGAUGCGGACAUCUAAGUUGAACCAAAGGUUUACCGCUAAGGGAUGGGGAUGCGUCUGAUUAGGCAGCAGGCGGGGUAACGGCCCACCUGGCCGACGAUCAGUAGGGGUUCUGAGAGGAAGGUCCCCCACAUUGGAACUGAGACACGGUCCAAACUCCUACGGGAGGCAGCAGUGAGGAAUAUUGGUCAAUGGGCGCGAGCCUGAACCAGCCAAGUAGCGUGCAGGAUGACGGCUCUAUGGGUUGUAAACUGCUUUUUAUGCGGGGAUAAAGUGCGGCACGUGUGCCGUUUUGUAGGUACCGCAUGAAUAAGGACCGGCUAAUUCCGUGCCAGCAGCUGC